UUCAUUUCUCCCUUUUACACUGUGUGUAGAUAAAAUCAUAAUAAUGACACAUAACUUUUACUUUUUCUUUUUUUUUUGAGACAGCAUCUUGCUCUGUCGCCCAUGCUGGAAUGCAGUGGAGCCAUCUCUGCUCACUGCAACCUCUGCUCCCUGGGUUCAAGCAAUUCUGCUUCAGUUUCCGGAGUAGCUGGGAUUAGAGGUAUGCACCACCAUGUCUGACUAAUUUUUUGUAUUUUAGUAGAGACAGGGUUUCACUGUGUUGCCCAGGCUGGUUCCGAACUCCUAAGCUCAGGCAAUCCAACCACCUCAUCCUCCCAAAGUGCUAGGAUUACAGGCGUGAGCCACUGCGCCCAUCAAACUUUUACUUUUGCAAAGUCUCUUUAGAAAAUAUGCCAUCAACACAGGUCAAAACAGUUUGAUAAAGAUUACUUAGUGUUUUAAAAACUACAGCAUACUAUUAGCUUUCAUGCGCGUCCCUGUGAAGAGACCACCAAACAGGCUUUGUGUGAGCAAUAAAGCUGUUUAUUUCACCUGGGUGCAGGUAGACUGAGUCCGAAAAGAGAGUCAGCAAAGGGAGAUAGGGGUGGGGCCGUUUUAUAGGAUUUGGGAAGGUAAUGGAAAAUUACAGUCAAAGGGGGUUGUUCUCUGGUGGGCAGGGGUGGGGGUCACAAGGUGCUCAGUGGGGGAGCUUCUGAGCCAGGAGAAGGAAAUUCGCAGGGUUAAUCACUCAGUUAAGGUGGGGCAGGAACAAAUCACAAUGGUGGAAUGUCAUCAGUUAAGGCGGGGCAGGGCAUAUUCGCUUCUUUUGUGAUUCUUCAGUUACUUCAGGCCAUCUGGGCAUAUACGUGCAAGUCACAGGGGAUGCGAUGGCUUGGCUUGGGCUCAGAGGCCUGACAUUCCUGCCUUCUUAUAUUAAUAAGAAAAAUAAAACAAAAUGGUGUUGAAGUGUUGGGGCGGCGAAAAUUUUUGGGGGGUGGUAUGGAGAGAGAAUGGGUGAUGUUUCUCAGGGCUGCUUCAAGCGGGAUUAGGGGCGGCGUGGGAACCUAGAGUGGGAGAGAUUAAGCUGAAGGGAGGUCUUGUGGUAAGGGGUGAUAUUGUGGGGAUGUUAGAAGAAACAUUUGUCGUAUAGAAUGAUUGGUGAUGGCCUGGAUACAGUUUUGGAUGAAUUGAGAAACUAAAUGGAAUAACAGAAGGAGAAAAACAGGUAUAAAAGGUCUAAGAAUUGGGACGACUCAGGAUAUCUGAUUAGAGAGUGCCUAAGGAGAUUCAGCAUAGUCCUGCCAGCAAAGAUUAUUUAUUUACCUCAAGAGUUAAGAGUGAUAGUUUGGGGAUAGCACCAGGAGAUAUCAGCUGUGAUGGCUUGGAAAAACAGUGUAAACUGGCAGUGUAAACAAGAGCAGGGCAUCUAUGAGUAGUUGGGAAUGGUGAAUAGGAGUAUGACUAGACAGAAGAUAGUAGGGAUGACAAGUUUUUUUGCGGGCACAGUCUAAGUUGGUCUGGUGUCUGGAAUGAGAUUGGGGCCUAAUAAAAAGGAGCGUCUAUACAGGAGCUCAAAUGGGCUGUACCCUGUAGCAUUCCGAGGACAGGCCUGAAUUCUGAGAAGGAAAAGUGGUAAAAGUAUUGUCCAGUCCUUUUUAAAUUGGUGGCUGAGCUUGGUGAGAUGUGUUUUUAAAAGACCUUUAGUCAAUUCUACUUUUCUUGAAGAUGGAGGACCGUAAGGGAUAUAAAGGUUUCACUGAAUACUAAGAGCCUGAAAAACUGCUUGGCUGAUUUGACUAAUAAAGGCUCAUCUGUUAACAGACUGUAUAGAGGUGGGAAGGCUAAACUGAGGAAUUGUGUCUGACAGAAGGAAAGAAUGACUGCGGUGGCCUUCUCAGACCCUGUAGGAAAGGACUCUACCUAUCCAGUGAAAGUGUCUACCUAGACUAAGAGGUAUUUUAGUUAUCUGACUCAGGGCAUGUUGAGUAAAGCUAAUUUGCCAGUCCUGGGUGGGGCAAAUCCUCCAGCUUGAUGUGUAGGGAAGGGAGGGGGCCUGAAUAAUCCAUGAGGAGUAGUAAAAUAGCAGAUGGAACACUGAGAAGUUAUUUCCUUGAGGACAGAUUUCCACGAUGGAAAGGAAAUGAGAGGUUCUAAGAGGCGGGCUAGUGGCUUGUACUAUAGCGUAACCUGCCUUUGCUGGUGUGUGGCGAUUAGGCCUGGUGGAACCGCCAUCAAUAAAUCAAGCGUGAUCAGGGUGAGGAACAGGAAAGAAGGAAAUUUGGAGAAAUGGGGUGAACAUCAGGUGAAUCAGAGAGAUACAGUCAUGGGGGUCAGGUGUGGUAUCAGGAAUAAUGUGGGAGGCCAGAUUGAAGUCCGGGCCAGGAACAACGGUAAUUGUGGGAGACUCAACAAAGAGUGAGUAUAGCUGAAGGAGCCGGGAAACAGAAAGUAUAUGCGUCAGGUAUGAGGAAGAAAAUAGAUUUUGGAAGUUAUGAGAACUGUAGAGAGUGAGUUGAGCAUAGUUUGUGAUUUUGAGGGCCUCUAAAGUAUUAAUGCAGUGGCAGCUGCUGCACGCAGACAUGAGGGCUAGGCUAAAACAGUAAGGUCAAGUUGUUUGCACAGAAAGGCUACAGGGUGCGGUCCUGGCUCUUGUGUAAGAAUUCUGACCGCACUAACUAUGCCUAGGAAGGAAAGGAGUUGUUGUUUUGUAGAAGGUGCUGGGGUUUGAGAGAUCAGUCGGACACAAUUGGCAGGGAGAGCCCGUGUGUUUUUAUGAGUGUUAUGCCGAGAUAGGUAACAGAUGAGGAAGAAAUUUGGGCUUGAUUGAAGUAAUGGGGGCUGUCUGUGAAGCUUUGCAGCAGUACAGCCUAGGUAAUUUGCUGAGCUUGAUGGGUGUCAGGGUCAGUCCAAGUGAAAGUGAAGAGAGGCUGGGAUUAAAGGUGCAAAGGAAUAGUAAAGCAAGCAUGUUUGAGAUCUAGAACAGAAUAAUGGGUUGUAGAGGCAGGUAUUGAGGAUAGGAGAGUAUAUGGGUUUGACACCACUGGGUGGAUAGGCAAAACAAUUUGGUUGAUAAGGCGCAGAUCCUGAACUAACUUGUAAGGCUUGUCUGGUUUUAGGACAGGUAAAACGGGGGAAUUGUAAGGAGAGUUUAUAGGCUUUAAAAGGCCAUGCUGUAGCAGGCAAGUGAUAACAGGCUUUAAUCUUUUUAAAGCAUGUUGCGGGAUGGGAUAUUGGCGUUGAGUGGGGUAAGGGUGAUUAGGUUUUUAAUGAGAUGGUAAGGGGUGCAUGAUCGGUCGCCAAGGAGGGAGUAGAGGUAUCUUAUACUUGUGGGUUAAAGUGGGGGGAUACAAGAGGAGGACACAAAGGAGGCUUUGGAUUGGGAAGAAGGGUGGCAAUGAGAUAUAGCUGUAGUCUAGGAAUAGUCCGGGAAGCAGAUAAUUUAGUUAAAGUGUCUCAGCCUAAUAAGGGAACUGGGCAGGUGGGGAUAACUAAAAAGGAGUGCUUAAAAGAGUAUUGUCUAAGUUGGCACCAGAGUUGGGGAGUUUUAAGAGGUUUAGAAGCCUGGCCAUCAAUACCCACAACAGUUAGGAGGCAAGGGAAACAGGCCCUUGAAAAGAAGGUAAUGCGGAGUGGGUAGCCUCCAUAUUGAUUAAGAAGGGGAUGGGCUUACCUUCCACUGUGAGAGUUACCUGAAGCUCGGCGUCCGCCGUGAUGGUCUAGGGGGCUUCCGAGGUGAUCGGGCAGUGUCAGUCUUCAGCCGCUAAGCCAAGAAGAUCUGGGAAGGAGUCAGUCAGAGAGCCUUGGGCCAGAGUUCCAGGGUUUCUGGGAGUGGCUGCCAGAAACAGUUGCAAUCCUGCACCUUCAGCAGUACCAAGACCAGGUGGCCAGUGCCUCCUUCUCAGAGUUUCAGCUCUUCAAGGGGCCUUCUCCAAGUUCUUGAGAGUCUCGCUCUGUCGCCCAGCCUGAAGUGCAGUAACUUCAUCUCAGUUCACUGCAACCUCUGCCUCCCAUGUUCAAGAGAUUCUACCGCCUCAGUCUCCCGAAUAGGUGAGGUCAGGAGUUCCAGACCAGCCUGGCCAACAUGGUGAAACCCAGUUUCUGCUCAUAUGUUUUUCUACAUGCCAGUUCUUAGUAGAUGGAGCAACGUUUAGAAACUACUCCACAUUUUCCUUUUAAUCACAUUUGAUCAGAACCAAAUAAAUGUCAAAAGAGGUAAAACAGUUAUAAUUAUCCUUUUAUUUUGGUCAAAGUAGUUAUAGAAGUGGAUGCAGAAGGAGAGAUAAAGAAGCUACCUUACCAUUAUCCAAAGGGUAUAAAAUAUUUGAACUGAUAAGAAGCAAAAAUUAUUUACUGAACAUUUCCAGCUAAGAUUAUUACAAAUUCAUACAGAAUAAAAGGUUAAAUAACAGAGUAAAGCAUGGAAACAUUUUACACAUCUGAUGUGUUAAACUUGCAUCUGUAAAUUAACACUUUAAUAUUCUUCAAGAAAUAGUAUGCAAUCUAUUUACGUAGUCAUGAACAUUAGGCAAACAAAAUCUGCUGAAUUACAAAUGAGAUUAUUUUAUUUUAACAUAGUGUUCUGAAGGGCUAGAAUAUAAAUUACUAUUACUACUUAUAAAAUAAUGUGACAUUAACAACUUUUGUCUGAUAAAGAGAACAUAAAUCUGUUAUCUUUUGAAAUUCCUCCCUAAAGUAAGAAAACAUUUGGGAGAUAAACCUCACCUGACAAAAGCUGCUGUAUUUAAUACUCAAAAAAUUUAGUAAUGGUUCCCUUCCUUUAGGGCUGUGUCAGGAUAGAUUAGACUACAUCAGGAUAGCAAAGAACCCCAAAAUCUCAGUUGCUUAAAAUAACAGAGAUGUAUUUCUCAUUUGUGCAGCCAGUGAAUGUUCUGAGCAACCAUACAGUACAGUUCUUCUUCAUGUACUGGAUAUUUUACCUAUAUGCUAACCUGUAACACUAUGUCCGUGACGAGGAAGAAAAAACAAGUUGGAGUUGAUCUUUGAUAAUUAAAUAUUUCCAUCUAAAAUUGAUAUGUAUAACUUUAGGUCAAAGUCAUUGACCACAUCUCUCUUCACGUAGAUAGGUGCAACUGAAACAGGAAAAGUUGCCUUGUCCCCCUCGCAAGGCGUGCGACAGGGGAAGUAGCUGGCUUCUUCAGUGCCCCGCUGCUCACACCUCUUGGGGAGCAACAGAGGUUCAAACCUCUUGCGGGGCAUACAGCCGGCAGGCUGUGGGGCUCUGACCCCAGGGCAGUGUCUAGAGUGGAUGUUUAUAGCUGAAGCCCCAGAGGGCACGUGCUACCGUGUGCUCUUUUAGUUUUGCCGUCUAUAGGCGGCUUAUGUUAACCAGCUCAAUUAGACUCUCUGCCUUGUCACAAGGACAGAGGGCUUUCUGUAACCUGGGUUCUUGUCUUGGUGUACCGGAAGAAUAGGAUCGCACCUGGGCUUGGAGAAUGAGUGCAAGGUUUUAUUGAGUGGAGGUAGCACUCAGCAGAUUGGGGAAGCCAGAAGCCAGUGGGAAGGUUUUCGUCGGGCUGCUCAGCGGCCUGGGCUCUCCUCCGACUGCCCCAGCCAAACUCCACCGUGUUCUGCUUCUGCCAGUCAAUGGCCUACCUGAGUGCCCGUGCCAGUCAGUGUUCCUCUCAACAUCCAGCUGCCCGUGUGUUCCUCUGCUGGUGUGCACCUCUCAACGUCCAGCCACCUGCGUCUCUGCCUUGCUAGGGUCUUGGGUUUUCAUAGGGGGCACGGCAGGCCAGGGUGGUCUCGGGAAAAUGCAACAUUUGGGCAGGAAAACAAAAAUGCCUGUCCUCACCUAGGUCUACGGGGGUGGAGCCCUAGCCAGAGACCACGCCCUUCCCCCUUCCGUAUCAUUUAAAGGGACCAUACUCUUCCCUUCCCAGCACUUCCCUACCGCAUCACAAUUUAUCUGUCUGCCCAUAAGAAAUAAAUUGAAUAUUACUGAAUAGUAGGAAUGUCUAUCACAGGAAUGUCUUG
rnacentral:lncRNA from 1 species